UUUCUGGAAACAAAUUUUAUGAAAAAUCUGUUUUCUGGAAAUAAAAGAGUGUGAUUAGACAGCGGCCAGACAACCGUAGAGAUGGUAUCCACAGAUGAUGGGUCAAUAAUCCCUCUUGUCUACUGAUUCCAUCUUACAUUU